CCUACGGGUUGCAGCAGUAGGGAAUCUUCGGCAAUGGACGAAAGUCUGACCGAGCAACGCCGCGUGAGUGAAGAAGGUUUUCGGAUCGUAAAACUCUGUUGUUAGAGAAGAACGUUGUGUAGAGUGGAAAAUUACACAAGUGACGGUAUCUAACCAGAAAGGGACGGCUAACUACGUGCCAGCAGCCGCGGUAAUACGUAGGUCCCGAGCGUUGUCCAGAUUUAUUGGGCGUAAAGCGAGCGCAGGUGGUUUAAUAAGUCUGAUGUAAAAGGCAGUGGCUCAACCAUUGUGUGCAUUGGAAACUGUUAGACUUGAGUGCAGUAGAGGAGAGUGGAAUUCCAUGUGUAGCGGUGAAAUGCGUAGAUAUAUGGAGGAACACCGGUGGCGAAAGCGGCUCUCUGGACUGUAACUGACACUGAGGCUCGAAAGCGUGGGUAGCAAACAGGAUUAGAUACCCCGGUAGUC
rnacentral:rRNA from 1 species